CAAUAGCGUAUAUUAAAGUUGUUGCAGUUAAAAAGCUCGUAGUUGGAUUUCUGGUCGGAAGCUCCUGUCCUCUGAUGAGCGUACAAGUGCGUCCUACCAUCCUUCUGUUAACCUUUAAGGCUUUCGCGGCUUUCUAGGGGCUCAGAUAUUUUACCUUGAGAAAAUUAGAGUGUUUCAGGCAGGCUAGCGCCGGAAUACAUUAGCAUGGAAUAAUGGAAUAGGACUUUUGCCUCUUCUGUUGGUCAUGAGGCUCGAGUAAUGAUUAAUAGGGAUAGUUGGGGGCAUUAGUACUUAACUGUCAGAGGUGAAAUUCUCGAAUUUGUUAAAGACUAACUUAUGCGAAAGCAUUUGCCAAGGAUGUUUUCAUUAA
rnacentral:rRNA from 1 species